rnacentral:rRNA from 1 species
AUUGAACGCUGGCGGCAGGCCUAACACAUGCAAGUCGAGCGGUAGCAGGGAGCUUGUUCCUGGUUUCCGCGGCGGACGGGUACGUAAUGCCUAUGAAUCUGCCUGUUAGUGGGGGAGAAGGUCAGCAACUGGGCGCUAUAACCGCUACCGCCUAGAGGGGCAAGGCGGGGGAGCUUGGGCUUUGAGCCUCUCGGCUGAGCCUAGGUCGGGUUAGCUAGUGGGUGGGGUAAGGGCCUACCUAGGCGACGAUCCGUAACUGGUCUGAGAGGAUGAUCAGUCACACUGGAACUGAGACACGGUCCAGACUCCUACGGGAGGCAGCAGUGGGGAAUAUUGGACAAUGGGCGAAAGCCUGAUCCAGCCAUGCCGCGUGUAUGAAGAAGGUCUUCGGAUUGUAAAGCACUUUAAGUUGGGAGGAAGGGCAGUAAGUUAAUACCUUGCUGUUUUGACGUUACCAACAGAAUAAGCACCGGCUAACUUCGUG